CCGGACUGCAUGUCACUGUUCUCGCCUGCUUCAGGAAUUCACCUUGCAUGGCCGGGGCACUCAGAAAGUGAGAGCAAUACAGUACGGGCAAUGUUAAUAACAAUAUGCUUCAUAUAUUCAUGCAUGCCUAGGUUUGGCAUCACCAUCUUGAUUCUUGAAAUCACAAAAAAAUAUACAUACAGAGGGGCCUGCUGGCUACCUUGGUGUCAUAUUGGCUUUGUAAAACUCUAAGCCAGGCUGCCUGCAAGGAUUACACGGAUGGACAGAGACAGAUCUUGGGAAUGCUUCAAACAGCAGGAUCCCAGGACCCACCUGCCAAACUGAGAAGAAAGAAAAUUCUCUUCUACCUCAGAACCUGGACUUCCUGUUUACUGAAAAGUUGAGAUGCCACUACUUUAUCUUUCCUUCAGAUCUUAUGAUGAGGAUGAAUGCAUGUGUGUGUCCCUUACCGCUGGCAGCAUCCUGAAAACAGAGGUUUCUAUUGGGCUCUCCCACGAAAUUCCUGCCUGCCAGUACCUCCAAGGCUCCUUGCUGUUUCCUCUGCAGCUGCCCAGUUUUCCCCAGAAGCAGAUGUAGGACAGGACAAAUGCAGUGCUUGACAUUUGCACAUUAUCUACUGUUUCUCAAGGAGACCAGUGAAGCUAAGCAGGCUGUACAUUGCCUUGCAUGAUUGUACAGCAAAACUGUCACAGCAGCAAUGAAAAUGAAGUCAAUGGCCAACAGCACAUCAACUCACCCUUGGAAUAUUAGAUUUUAUAGUGCAAAGAAUAUGAACAUUUUAGAUAAAUAAGAUAAAUUCCUGAAAAUAAGAGUUUUCAGGGGAGAAUUUGCCAUCACAUACAAACAUCUGAGUGAAUUUUCACAAUUUAUUAAAACUUUAGAAGGGAAGUAUGCCAUAGCCUAAGUAGGACUGCACCGAACAGUUAUCAUGUGUGUUUAAAAAAGAUUAUAAACUGUUUGGACUAAAAAUAUUGUUGAGAAAGAUAAGUAGGGGCAAUUACAGAUUUUAUCAGAAUGAUAAUGUUUUUCUCACUUGAAUGCUUCAAAGUAUAACCUUUCAGCCAUGCAGAUUUUUUUAAUAAUUACAAUAAUUAAAGAUCCUGCACAGAUGCAACACAAGCCUGCUCCUCAAUUUCAAAUCAGAGUUUUUCAGUAAAGUACUAAGCAUUCUGAAUUCAUUUACAUCAGUAUAAAUUUGCAGCACCACCAGAAAGUGAGCAGAAUGACACCGGUUCAUACUAGAAUAACUUCAAAUCAAGCCUGGUUCUUCUUAGCAUCACUGGUUCACUGAUGACUGCCUCUAUCCUACAAACAGUACCUGAAUCUCACUUCAACAUCAUUCUUCCUGGGUUUCUACUAUAAUUCUUACUCUUCUGUGUAAAUUGAGAUGAUAAUAAGAUGGAAAACAAGCAAGGAGCAAGAAUACAGGUGGUAUUUCCCUACUGUUCUCCUGAACAAUAGAACAAGUCCACAACACCUGCACAGAUCACACUGGUACCCAAAUUCUUCAGUGUGUGGUGCUAAUGUUCACAGAGUGUGGAUUGAGAUCAAUGGUUCCAAAAUUUUAAUAUUCAGUCAGCCACUGUCCAUUCCUGGAAUUUCUUAAGUAGACAUUUUUCAAUAAAGGUCCGUCUACUCUCAUCAUGAAGGUUUCAGCUGAAAGCCUUGUGAAGGUAAUGUAAUGUAAGGCCUAGAUUUUGUUAGCCACUUUUACAGUCUCAUUUUCUCUCCUUUCCAAUGAGUAUGUAUUUGUCUUGGAAAAUUUACCUGUGUUUUUAUGAUAUAAUAAAAAUAAUAUUUAAAACUG